GAUGAACGCUGGCGGCGUGCCUAAGACAUGCAAGUCGAGUGGGUUUAGACCCACGGCAAACGGGUGAGUAAUAUCUAGGAACAUGCCCUCAGUUGAGGAUAACCUACCGAAAGGUAGAAUAAUACUCGAUGUGACCGCAAGGUUAAAGUCGCAAGACGCUAAAGGAAGUGGCCUGGACACCAUCAGCUAGUUGGUAAGGUAAUGGCUUACCAAGGCUUUGACGGUUAGGGGCCCCGAGAGGGGAAACCCCA
rnacentral:rRNA from 1 species